rnacentral:rRNA from 1 species
GCUUACGGCCAUACCACCCUGAGAACGCCCGAUCUCGUCUGAUCUCGGAAGCUAAUCAGGGUCGGGCCUGGUUAGUACUUGGAUGGGAGACCGCCUGGGAAUACCAGGUGCUGUAAGCU